GACGAACGCUGGCGGCGUGCUUAACACAUGCAAGUCGAACGGAAAGGCCCUGCUUUUGUGGGGCUCUCGAUUGGCGAACGGGUGUGUAACACGUGAGUAACCUGUCCUUGUCUUUGGGAGAACUUCAGGAAACUGGGGCGAAUACCGGAGAGGAGCUCCUGCUGCAUAGGGGGGGUUGGAAAGUGUCGGCGGUAGGGGAUGUACUCGCGGCUUAUCGGCUUGUUGGUGUGGUAGUGGCUUACCAAGUCUUUGACGGAUAGGCGGCCUGGGAGGGUGGCCGGCGACAAUGCGACUGCGAUACGGCGCAGUAUGCUACGGGCGGCAGUGGUCGAGAAUCUUGCGGAAUAAGCGGACGCCUGAGACAGAAGCGUCGCGUGCGUGAUGCCGGCCUUCGGGUUGUGAACCGCUUUCGCCUGUGCUGAGCAGUGCGUGACGGUACUGGGUCAAGAAGCCACGGCUAACUACGUG
rnacentral:rRNA from 1 species